rnacentral:rRNA from 1 species
AGCCUAACUCUAGCCCCACCAAACAAGCCCCAAAGCCAACCCCCUCAAACAAAAUAAAUUAAAACAUUAACCCAGACCCAGUAUAGGCGAUAGAAAAGUCACUAGGGCGCAAUAGAGCUUACGUACCGCAAGGGAAAGAUGAAAUAUAAGUGAAAACCAAGCACCAAACAGCAAAGAUUAUCCCUUGUACCUUUUGCAUCAUGAUUUAGCGAGAACUAGCCAGACAAAACGACCUUAAGUCUGCCUCCCCGAAACCCAAGCGAGCUACUCGUGAGCAGCUAACCUAUGAGCGAACCCGUCUCUGUUGCAAAAGAGUGGGAUGACUUACUAGUAGAGGUGAAAAGCCUACCGAGCUGGGUGAUAGCUGGUUGCCCGCGAAAGGAAUUUAAGUUCCCCCUUGAACUGCCAACAGGACACCCUCAUGACCCCCCCCCGUUCAAGAGCAAGUUAAAGGGGGUACAGCCCCUUUAAUCCAAAACACACCUUCUUAAAGAGGAUAAACUCCACCCACCCAUAGACUGUGGGCCUUAAAGCAGCCAUCAACAAUGAGUGCGUCAAAGCUCCCCGUACAAAAAUCUUAACAUAGCCUGACUCCCUUCCCCCUAGCGGGCCAAUCUAUAUCUGAUAGAAGAAAUAAUGCUAGAAUGAGUAACUAGGACACCCCCUCUAUGGCGCAACCCUGCCUCCUCCACAAUUAACAGGCCCCAAAUAUUUACCCCCAACUCAAGAACACAAUAUACCAACCCCCUGUUGACCCAACCCAGCGGAGCGCCCCUAAGACCGAUUAAAACUCGUAGAAGGAACUAGGCAAACCAAAGGCCCGACUGUUUACCAAAAACAUAGCCUCCAGCGAGCCAAGUAUUGGAGGUGACGCCUGCCCGGUGACAUCACGUUCAACGGCCGCGGUAUCCUAACCGUGCGAAGGUAGCGCAAUCAAUUGUCCCAUAAAUUGGGACCUGUAUGAAUGGCUGAACGAGGUCUUAACUGUCUCCUACGAGUAAUCAGUGAACUUGAUCUCCCUGUGCAAAAGCAGGAAUAACCACAUAAGACGAGAAGACCCUGUGGAACUUAAAAAUCAACAGCCACCCUCUUCGCCUACGCCCCCAAUGGGCUCAUUCUCCAAGACUAAGACUCUGGCCUGUAUUUUUCGGUUGGGGCGACCUUGGAGUAUAACACAACCUCCAAACACCAGACCACCCCUCUAAACCAAGAACAACCUGUCAACGUGCUAAUAGCAGUCAGACCCAAUAUGACAUUGAUCAAUGAACCAAGCUACCCCAGGGAUAACAGCGCAAUCCCCUCCAAGAGCCCCCAUCGACGAGGGGGUUUACGACCUCGAUGUUGGAUCAGGACAUCCUAGUGGUGUAGCCGCUACUAAGGGUUCGUUUGUUCAACGAUUAAUAGUCCUACGUGAUCUGAGUUCAGACCGGAGCAAUCCAGGUCGGUUUCUAUCUAUGAUGAACUUUUUCCAGUACGAAAGGACCGAAAAAGUGAGACCAAUGCCCCAAGUAUGUCUUAACCAAAAGUAAUGAACCCAACUAAAUUACAUAAGGUAACCUAACCUACAUCCAAGAAAAGGAUAG